rnacentral:rRNA from 1 species
UACGUAGGGGGGCAAGCGUUGUCCGGAUUUAUUGGGCGUAAAGAGCGUGUAGGCGGCCAGACAGGUCCGUUGUGAAAACUCGAGCUCAACCUCGAGACGCCGAUGGAAACCGUUUGGCUAGAGUCCGGAAGAGGAGAGUGGAAUUCCUGGUGUAGCGGUGAAAUGCGUAGAUAUCAGGAGGAACACCGGUGGUGUAGACGGCUCUCUGGACCGUAACUGACGCUGAGGCACGAAAGCGUGGGUAGCAAACAGG